ACUCAAAUGAAUUGACGGGGGCCCGCACAAGCGGUGGAGUAUGUGGUUUAAUUCGACGCAACGCGAAGAACCUUACCAGGGUUUGACAUCCACUGAAUACCUAAGAGAUUAGGUCGGCCCCUUCGGGGGACAGUGAGACAGGUGGUGCAUGGCUGUCGUCAGCUCGUGUCGUGAGAUGUUGGGUUAAGUCCCGCAACGAGCGCAACCCUUAUCCUGUGUUACCAGCGUGAAAGACGGGGACUCACAGGAGACUGCCGCCGACAAGGCGGAGGAAGGCGGGGAUGACGUCAAGUCAUCAUGCCCCUUAUGUCCUGGGCUACACACGUACUACAAUGGGUGCAAACAGAGGGCUGCAAUCCCGCGAGGGGGAGCUAAUCCCACAAAGGCACUCUCAGUUCGGAUCGCAGGCUGCAACCCGCCUGCGUGAAGUCGGAAUCGCUAGUAAUCGCAGAUCAGCAGGCUGCGGUGAAUACGUUCCCGGGCCUUGUACACACCGCCCGU
rnacentral:rRNA from 1 species